UCUUACAAAAUUUCAAAUAAUAUAUGCUUACGUAAGUCAAAUACUUUAAUCAAUCUAACUAAAGGACCAAUAACUGAAGGAAUCGUCGGAAAAUCUAACGCACUCCUCAAUCCCGUGAGAUCAAGCCUCUGGAUCUGAAAAAUGGACAAAAUAGAAUAAUGAGCUACACUAGCCCAGUAAGCAACAAAAUACCCCAAAGUGGGGUCAGAGCAUAUCAGAUCAAAAUACAGGAUAAUGUCUGGAAUAAAUCAUAAAUAACAUCGUUUUGUUGUUUUCAAAACUUAUUAUCAUUUUUCCAAAAAC
rnacentral:lncRNA from 1 species